rnacentral:tRNA from 1 species
AUCUUUUUAGUACAGUGAGAGUAUAUCUGGCUUCCAACCAGAAGGCCUUAGUUUGACCCUAAGAAAAGAUA